rnacentral:rRNA from 1 species
GACGAACGCUGGCGGCGCGCCUAACACAUGCAAGUCGAACGAAGUUUGCCGGAGUUGAUCCUUCGGGUGAUUGAUAGUAAACUUAGUGGCGGACGGGUGAGUAACACGUGAGCAACCUGCCUUACAGAGGGGGAUAACGUUUGGAAACGAACGCUAAUACCGCAUAAGACCACAGCACCGCAUGGUGCAGGGGUAAAAAACUCCGGUGGUAUGAGAUGGAUCCGCGUCUGAUUAGCUAGUUGGUAAGGUAACGGCUUACCAAGGCAACGAUCAGUAGCCGACCUGAGAGGGUGACCGGCCACAUUGGGACUGAGACACGGCCCAA